AAGAAAAGAGCUUGUCAAGUUAGCCAAGAUGACUGCCUGGUAGCCAACAAAAGGUUUUCAAAGAAGUUUUUUGAAACCUCUUUGAAAGGAGCAGCAGGCAAGUCAUUCUUGGCUACCCAACUCAACUCUUAUCU
rfam:Gossypium hirsutum cultivar TM-1 chromosome 26, whole genome shotgun sequence